CUGCCCAAUGAGUAGUUUAAUGGCCGCGGUAAUUUGACCGUGCAAAGGUAGCAUAAUCAUUAGUUUUUUAAUUGAAAGCUGGAAUGAAAGGUUGGAUGAGAAAAUAACUGUCUCUAUUAAAAUUAAUUAGAAUUUUAUUUUUAAGUAAAAAAGCUUAGAUAUACAUAGAAGACGAGAAGACCCUAUAGAGUUUAAUUAAUAAUUUUUAUAAAUUUUUUAGGAUUAAGAUUUUUUUAAGAGUAAUUAAUUUUGUUGGGGUGAUAGAAAAAUUAAUAAAACUUUUUUUUUAUUCGAACAUUAAUUUAUGAAUAUUUGAUCCUUUAAUGAAGAUUAAAAGAGUAAAUUACCUUAGGGAUAACAGCGUAAUUUUUUUAGAGAGUUCAAAUCGAAAAAAAAGAUUGCGACCUCGAUGUUGGAUUAAAAUAAAAUUUUGGUGUAGAAGCUAAAAUAUUUAGGUCUGUUCGACCUUUAAAAUUUUACAUGAUCUGAGUUUAAACCGGCGU
rnacentral:rRNA from 1 species